rnacentral:piRNA from 1 species
UGACUCCACCAUGGUCUCUGCAGAAGC